AGGCCCAAUCAAGUCAUUUCAAAAACGUCGUUCCGUCGUCACGCCCUCCCAAAAAGCCAAAAACGCGAAAACCGCCUCGUGCCGGUUAUCCCUCAUCGUCUUCUCCGCUUAAAAGCGCCGCUCUCCGUUGUCCGUACAGCCAUCUGUCUGUUUCUCAGUUCCCACCACUCUCUUUCGCUCUCACGUUCUUUGUUUUCUUUUUUUCUUUUUUUCAAAAUCCCUAAAAAUCCGCUUAUCUCCGAUGGCGCAAAUUAACCGUGCCUCAAAACCCUAGAACCCCGCCCUUUUUCGGUUUUUUAUUAUUUCUUUAACUGUAAAGAACCAGUGAAGUGGAAUGGAUGGAAUGAGUAGCAGUAGCAACGGCCAAAACGAUGCAUCAACCACCGGCGGAGGAGCCCAAACGGCAGCGCAACCUCAACCGACCCCUCAGCCGGUGGCGGUGCAGAGUGCGAACGCGCCACCGCCUUUCCUGAGUAAGACUUAUGAUAUGGUGGAUGAUCCCGCCACGGAUGCCAUCGUCUCUUGGAGCCCGACCAACAAUAGCUUCGUUGUUUGGAACCCACCGGAGUUCGCACGGGAUCUUCUGCCCAAGUAUUUCAAGCACAACAACUUCUCGAGCUUCGUCAGGCAACUAAACACCUAUGGUUUCCGAAAGGUUGAUCCUGACCGCUGGGAAUUUGCAAAUGAGGGAUUUUUAAGGGGUCAGAAGCACCUGCUUCGGAAUAUUAGUCGGCGAAAGCCUGUCCAUGGGCAUGGCCAUCAGCAGACACAGCAAUCACAUGGACAGAGUUCAUCCGUGGGUGCCUGUGUUGAGGUUGGGAAAUUUGGGCUUGAAGAAGAGGUUGAGAGGCUUAAGAGAGACAAGAAUGUGCUUAUGCAGGAACUUGUUAGGUUGAGGCAGCAGCAACAGGCUACUGAUAACCAGCUGCAAACCAUGGUGCAACGUCUUCAGGGGAUGGAGCAGCGGCAGCAGCAGAUGAUGUCAUUCUUGGCAAAGGCUGUGCAGAGCCCCGGCUUUUUGGCUCAAUUUGUGCAGCAGCAAAAUGAGAGCAAUAGGCGCAUAAGUGAAGCGAACAAGAAGAGGAGGCUCAAGCAGGAUGGUAUCAUUGAUAAUGAGCAUUCUGCUUCCUCUGAUGGACAGAUUGUUAAAUAUCAGCCUAUGAUGACUGAGUCGAAAGCAAUGCUCAGGCAGUUCAUGAAAGGAGAUGCUUCUCCCAGGAUGGACUCUUUUAACAACAAUAAUGAAAAUUUUCUGAUUGGUGAUGGUUUGUCAUCGUCCAGCGGAAUGGAUGGUGGGAACUCUUCAAGCCGUGUAUCUGGGGUGACCCUUCAGGAGGUCCCACCAACUUCAGGCCAAUCAACAUUUAUACCAGCAACUUCAGAGAUCUCAGGGCAGUGCCCCUCAACUGCCGUAACUGAAAUACAAUCUUCCCCAAGUGCAACAACCUCUGAAAAGAUUACAACAGCACAGUUUCCCGAUGUGAGUGCACUGGUUGGAGUGCAAAAGCCACCAUCAAUAUCCGUUUCUCAGACAGAUAUAAUUAUGCCUGAGCUUUCUCAAAUACCAGACAUGGUCCCUGAAAGCAUUGUUGAUAUUCCAACAGAAAAUUACAUGGGGUCUGAAACAGGGAAUGGUGGAUUUAUUGAUCCUGCUGCAUUGGUUGUGGAUGGUUCAGUUCCCAUAGAACUUGAUGACAUUGGUCCUGAUCCUGACAUAGAUGCCUUGCUGGAUAAUUCUACUUUCUGGGAUGACCUUCUUGUGCACAGUCCAUUGCCUGAUGAUAUUGAAUCACCCUCAAUGGAUGGUAAAAACAAGGGAAAUGAAGGGCAGCCGAUUGACAAUGGAUGGGACAAAUCCCAGCAUAUGGAUAAACUUACAGAACAAAUGGGUCUUCUUAGAUCAGAUAACAAGGGGCUUUAAUCUUGUGUACCAAAACCUAUAUUGCCUUUCACAUUAUCUGAGGUUUCGAACCAGCUGGCAUGAGUAGGACCUGAGUAUGGUAACCAGCGUGUAGUGGCUGAUACCGUAAACUAAAGAUAAAGUGAAACUCGAGGUUCAAGGUUGGUGAAGAUUGGGAUGAUUGCUUCCCUUAGAUGGGGAGAAUGGCUGGUGAGGCUACGCCUACCAGUGGGCUGAUGGCGGUUUGCUAGGCUUGUUCCUGGUGAAGGAUGAAUCAUGAACAUAUCAAUUUACCGUUAAAACGCAUCUCACCGGGGUGCAGUAAAAGAGUUCACUGAGACGAAGGCCACCUGGUCAAAUGACUCCUAGCGGAGGGAAGGAAGAGAACCUAGUCAAAUGGCUCGGAAUCAAAAACUGAAACAAAAUUGGACAAGCACGGUAAAGGGAAGUCAUGAAUUUUAUAUUGGCUGUGUAAUAAGGUGAGAUGAUUAUUUGAUUGCCAUAAGUUUAUAUAGACCAAGACAGUUGAUAUCAAAAUUAGUUCUGAAUAGUAACAAUGGCUUUAUGAUACUAACUAUGUGUCACUUCUACUGUUGACUUGUAAGAAAUUUUUAAAUUUUAAUAUUUACACGUUUAUGAGGACACAUGUGGGGCUU